rnacentral:lncRNA from 1 species
UGAACCUGGAAGGCGGAGUUUCCACUGCAUUCCAGCCUGGGCGACAGAGCGAGACUUUUUCUCAAAAAGGUAAACAUGAUGCAAUGGUAAAUAGUCAUGGGCUAAUUAGAACAAACUACUCCUGUUCUCCCACACCCCUGGAGCUGGGUGAGUAGACACAGGUGAUACUGAGCUUGCUGAUGUGGUUAAGAGACCUUGAUUGUUUCAUGGGGAAGGUUAAUCAGUCAUUAGGUGUGAAUCAUUCCUUAAUGUCCCAUCUGAUGUAUUAUAUCCUGACAUUUUCCUUUCUUCCUCCCACAGCGUGAGUGCAUCUCCAUCCACGUUGGCCAGGCUGGUGUCCAGAUUGGCAAUGCCUGCUGGGAGCUCUACUGCCUGGAACACGGCAUCCAGCCCGAUGGCCAGAUGCCAAGUGACAAGACCAUUGGGGGAGGAGAUGAUUCCU